rnacentral:lncRNA from 1 species
AAUUGUACAUUAAAUUACAUAUUUUAAUACAGGACUCAGUGACGCAUACGAUUCUACAAAAACUACAGGUUACUGAAAAUUUAAUAUUACGUCUAGGUUUAGAAAAAGAAUUAAAUGGUCAUUCAGGAUGUGUUAAUUGUUUAGAAUGGAAUGAAACUGGACAAGUUCUUGCGUCAGCGUCAGAUGAUAAAGACAUUAUCUUAUGGGAUCCUUUUCGUUAUGAAAAAAAACUUGUACUUCAUUCGGGCCAUCGCGGAAAUAUUUUCUCUGUAAAAAAUCUGGCCAAAUUGUAUGCAUGACUGCCGACCGAGGACACGAUAAUUUUGAGUGGAAAACCAGCUUUAUGAAUUUUUACGGCAAACCGUAGCAGCGGGGAAGAUUGCCAU